UACGGAGGGAGCUAGCGUUGUUCGGAAUUACUGGGCGUAAAGCGCACGUAGGCGGCUCAGCAAGUCAGGGGUGAAAUCCCGGGGCUCAACCCCGGAACUGCCCUUGAAACUGCUAAGCUAGAAUCCUGGAGAGGCGAGUGGAAUUCCGAGUGUAGAGGUGAAAUUCGUAGAUAUUCGGAAGAACACCAGUGGCGAAGGCGACUCGCUGGACAGGUAUUGACGCUGAGGUGCGAAAGCGUGGGGAGCAAACCGG
rnacentral:rRNA from 1 species